ensembl:lncRNA
GUUCUUUUGUUUUGCUUUAGUUUCCAAGGGAUUUGCAGACACACCCACAAAGCCACCGAGGUAACAAACUGGAGUAAAUGAGGCAACAAAGCUGCACAAGCCAGAUGCUGUAAUGCUUCUGUUUUUACGUGCAGCAUGAAACUAACAUAAUAACAUUGGUUAGUUAGUUUUUAUCCUGCAAUGUUGUCGUUCUUUUGGAAAAAAGUGAAAGGUACAAUGGAAAUGAGUUGCAACAGUGCAAUCAUGAAGUUCAGUUAAGGUGUGCCAGAGUAAUAUUAGACGAGCUUAUGAGACUUCCUUAAAAGCCACAAAGCAGGUUUUCCUUCACCUGGUUUCUGUUUUUUUUUUUUUUUACACAAAACCAGCCAGCCUUCUUUGAAAAUGAGAGAUCACACCUCAGUCAAAAAUAGUACAGUCUGCAAAAAGGCUGAAUUCUGCAAUAAACAUACUAUCUCGCACCGAGGACGCAGACAAGAGGAAGAUCAGACAGAGAGAAAGAUGAAUGCCUUUCUAAAAAGAAUAUGUUAUGCCCUCUGUUGGCCUCUAGAGAAUGCUGAUGCUCCACCAUUUUAUUACACUUUUUUUUUUUUGGUUAAGCAAGAGGAAGGGGGUGGGGUGGGGGAUGAGAGAGAGAGGCAAGAAAUGUUAAGUAGACAGAGAACAGAGACUCUCAUCUCUCUUAUUAAAACCUAGCAGCCACAUCAUCUACAGCCGGCACUUAAGAAGCCACAGAAGUGGUUGUCAGUAGUGAUAUUAUCACAUAAAAACAAGCUAUUAUGGGAUGUAAUUGUACCGACUUAUAGAUUUUAACAUUUAAAAUACAAGUCCACAUUUUGGUCAAACUGCAAUUAAAGCUCUGUGGUCACUUGCAGUUUUUCCCUGCUGGGUUUGCUGCUGAGCCGCCCACUUUAGCAUUGCGGAGAGUACACAUGCGGAUGCUCAGCCAAUCAGAGUUAGCCUAUUUAACUCUGCACAAAAUGAGGUGGAAGCUACCCCUUUGUCUCCUCAGUCUAAUCAUGUAACUUGGAAUAAAUAUUACAUGUGGAAAUGUUGGCAGGUGAUCCAGGUGAUUGAUAUAUGUAUUUUUUUGUCUGCUUAUUUAGUUGGUUUUUGUUUUUUUGCCCUUUAUCCCCGUCCCUCUUCUCCGCUGUUUUUCCCCCUCUUCCUUUCUCCCCUUUCUUUUCCUCAUUCAAGUCCCGUAUCUAGCAAGUGAAAAAUAAAUAAAUAAAUAAAAUAAACAAUAAAAGGUGAAUCAAAUAGACCAUUACAGCAAGGCUGGGAUGGUCAAUUUGGUAAAGUAAAUCCGUUGGGCAUCUUUCUUUGCCUUUAGACAAUAAUUCUGAUGGCAAAAGAACCAAACGGGACAGGCAAACAAA